CUCCUACCACCUCCUCCCACUCCUCUCCCCUCUUCAGGAGCUGGGUGGAGCCCCCUGCGUUACCCCCGCAGUCUGUGGUUCCCAGCUGCGCUUCUAACAGGGGUUUCUGGAUGCACCAUGGGCCCCCUGGCAGGGGCUAGGGCCCCUUGGAGCACGGAAAGAAGUGUUGGCAGCUCUGACGUUUCUUGACGUUCCUGGACCAAGGCACCGAGACAGAGGAGUCUCUCACUGAAGAUAAAGCAAAAACAAGUCACAUCAAUACAAAAAGAAAAGACUGGCCCUACCUUCCUUGAAAGCCCUAUAAUGAGUUCACCAGAUAGAUGUUAACCAUGCGAGGACCUGUCAGCAUCUCUUAGCCUCUAGACCCAUAGCCCAAGUCAUGGCUUAUCAUACUCCAGGAAGAUGAGGGAGACGCCUGAUGUCCGAUGUGAGGAUUCUACAGGGGACAACUCGUGUCAUUCAUAACACUUUAUAAUGACAAGAUUUCUGCUUGAGAUUGAAUUCCAGACCAAGUGAAAAUUGAGAGUGUAUGGAAAUUGCUGAUGUUUGCAGCACCAGUGAUUAUGGAUUUGGUACUGUGGUGGUGGGUAUUAAUUAUCAACUUAACAGAAUCCAGAAGCCCUUGGAAAAGGGGCUCCUGGGGAGUGCUUCAUCACAGCCACGAGAAAAGAACAAAGGCAGUGGAUAAGUUCAACCAGGAGUGGCUCUCGGUCUGCUAAGUUGGUUGAUGAAAUCCAGCACAACGCUCCCUUCUGUAAAUUGGACUAACAUACCUGAUCGUUGUUGAUGCAGUUGAGGAGGGCGUACCCUAAAGUUUGAUGAGAAAAUAACAACACAAUCUUCCAGAAGACAGUCCUUUCACCCAUUGCUAAGAGGGGCACUGGUGGUCUUGGAAGCCCUGGACUCGCUGUCCUCUGCAGGUGUGGUGAUGGUGUGAGAGGGAACUGAUGGAAUAAGCUCUUGUAUUACAGUAGUAAUAGUGGAAUUCCAGAGCGGAAGAGGCCAACCCCAUUGGCAGCACUAGCCAACAGAAGGUGAGGAGCGUCACUCUAACUGGCAGUGACCCAGACAAUCUGUAGGUUUGUACAGCCUGCUAAUAUUUUCCCUGAGCUGAGAAACUACAACUUGAAAAGUCACUAAAACGGAGGCCUCAUUUGAACUACGACCCAGUUCACCAGUGCCUCUUAGGUGAGGAGAUCUUGAUAAAGGAUCCUGCUGCAGAUAUACUGUGCACCUUGCUCCUGUUCUCCACCAGCAGACCUGUGGCCGCUUACCAAGGAAACAGAGAUAUCUAGGCUCUGGUGGGGUACUAUUGCCUGGUUUUGUGAUGAUUCUAAGCCCUGCAGAUCUGCAGAGGCAGACCACUGUCCUCAGUGAGUUAUGAAAGACAGUUUAACAACGGAGACAGGGGCUUACAGCCUCAAUUCCAAUGUGUAGGAGGAUGAGGUCAUUAAACACGUCCUUACAAUAAAAAAAAA